rnacentral:tRNA from 1 species
GGUCUCGUGGCCUAAUGGAUAAGGCGUUCGUCUUCGGAACCAAAGACUAUGGGUUCGAGUCCCAUGGAGAUCG